rnacentral:rRNA from 1 species
GACGAACCGGACGAACGUUAUUCGGAAUUACUGGGCUUAAAGGGUUCGUAGGCGGCCUUGUAAGUGAGAUGUGAAAUCCCUCGGCUCAACCGAGGAAGUGCAUUUCAUACUGCAAGGCUUGAGGGAGACAGAGGUAAGCGGAACUGAUGGUGGAGCGGUGAAAUGCGUUGAUAUCAUCAGGAACACAGGUGGCGAAAGCGGCUUACUGGGUCUCUUCUGACGCUGAGGAACGAAAGCUAGGGGAGCGAACGGG